CAAUAGCGUAUAUUAAAGUUGUUGCAGUUAAAAAGCUCGUAGUUGGAUUUCGGGGCAGCCUGGCUGGUCCGCCGCAAGGCGAGUACUGGUCAGCCGCCCUUCCUCUUGAAAGCCCCGACUGCUCUUCGUUGCAGUGGUCGGGUAGUUCGGGACGUUUACUUUGAAAAAAUUAGAGUGUUCAAGGCAGGCCUACGCCUGAAUACAUUAGCAUGGAAUAAUGGAAGAGGACCUCGGUCCUAUUUUGUUGGUUUCCAGGGCCGAAGUAAUGAUUAAGAGGGACAGUUGGGGGCAUUCGUAUUUAAUUGUCAGAGGUGAAAUUCUCGGAUUUAUGAAAGACGAACAACUGCGAAAGCAUUUGCCAAGGAUGUUUUCAUUAA
rnacentral:rRNA from 1 species